CGCAGAUGAUGAAAAGAGAUCUGCAUAUUUGGGCUGAUUUUGAAACCAUGAGGCUCCAAAAAUCGAGCUUUUUAAAACUGAUGAUG